rnacentral:tRNA from 1 species
UAGCUCAGUUGGGAGAGCGUUAGAUUGAAGAUCUAAAGGUCCCUGGUUCGAUCCUGG